AGGGAUAUGUGGUCCUAACACUUUCACAAAGGAGGUAGUGUUACUCCCAGAUCCUACUGCUGAAUUGGUUCCUCGACGGGGAACGAAGCAAUGGCUGUUUGAUAAUGGUCAUGUCAAGAACGCAGUGGAGUUUCAAAAAGACUGGGAUGCCAAGACCAUAAUGGAACAUCUCCAAAUGGUUUUUCAAGAUAAAAUUGAUUCCACCAUUCAAUUUGAAAUUCUAAUGGGACUUCAUAAUAAAGUGGUAAAGCCUAACCUGGUUGCUGGCCAAACUCUGAGUGGAUUUUUAAUUCACAAAGUAUUUGCAUCUAAAGCCUUGUAUCUUAGACCAAACAAGAUGCUGCUUCAGAUGCCACAUGAUGACACAAACAAGAUCACAAAUGCAUAUGCCAAUGACCUUCAAGAUCAAUCAUAGAAGCCUUUAAAUGACGAGUCACAUUGUGAAGUACACCAAACGGGUGAAGAACUGCACCAAGAGAUACCAACCCUUCAGCUGACAAACACUGAUGUUAUAUGCAGCACACCGUUCUCUGAUUUAGGGAAUUACGAAGUAGUCUGUUCUGUUUCACCACUUCAGUUGAUGACACAAACUCGGACACCUCCAAACCUACAUUCCAGCUGCACAGCCACUGCAGAAGAAAGUAAAUCCAGUGACCCAUAUCAUCAGUAUAUCAACAUAUUGGAUUUAACUCAAGAUGACAACUCUGAAGCUGCCAUUCUUUUGGAUGACAGUCUUAUUGAACCAUCACAUGAUGGUUUCCUUCUUGAAGACAUCCUCGGUAAUCUAGCUAAAGCAAUAAAUGACGAGGAAAUCAGUAUUUUUAAUAUUAACAGAUCUACUGUGUGGGAAGGUGCACUGCACGGAUUCCGAAGAAAUACAUAUUCCCCAACCAAAAGAAUAUCUGUGAAAUUUACUGAUGAUGUGGGCCAUUCUGAAGGUGCAGUUGACAUUGGUGGACCUCGCAGAGAGUUCUUACGACUUCUAAUGAAGCACCUGCAGACCAGCUGUCUAUUUAUAGGACCAGAGAAUCAAAAACAUCUAUGUUUAAAUAGUUCAGCUGUGAGAUCAGAUGACUACUUCAUUGCCGGAAGAGCUAUUGCUGUGAGCCUUGUACAUGGUGGACCACCGCCCCGAUUUCUGGCAACUGAAUUAUAUGAUGCACUAGUGAGAGGACCAGAAAAUGUGACCUGUGAUUUCCAGAAAAUUCCAGAUGAAGAUUUAAAGUCAAAACUGGAGAAAAUUGGUGAUGCGCAAAGUUUAGAAGCAGCAGUGGAUGCUGUCUUGAUGUCACAGGAUUUCCUCAGUUUAGCAGGGUGUUUGCGUCAUGUGACUUCUCUAGAAGGUCAUAAACAGCUUGUAAAAGAAGCUACAAACUGGUAU